CACAGUGUGUGUGAGUGAGGGUGCUGUAUGUGUGUGUAAGUUCUGUGAGUGUAAAUGGGGUUGUAUGUGAGUGUGAGUGUCCUGUGUGUAUCUGAGGGUGCGGUGUGUGUGUGUGCUGUGCGCAAGGUGCAGUGUGUGAGCGUGCUGUGAGAGUUCUGUGUGUGUGAGGGUGCUGUCAGUGUGAGGAUGCUAUGAAAUUCC